AUUGAACGCUGGCGGCAUGCCUUACACAUGCAAGUCGUACGGCAGCACGGGAGCAAUCCUGGUGGCGAGUGGCGAACGGGUGAGUAAAGUAUCGGAACGUGCCCAGUCGUGGGGAUAGCGUAGCGAAAGUUACGCUAAUACCGCAUACGAUCUAUGGAUGAAAGCGGGGGAUCGCAAGACCCCGCGCGAUUGGAGCGGCCGAGAUCAGAUUAGGUAGUUGGUGGGGUAAAGGCUCACCAAGCCGACGAUCUGUAGCUGGUCUGAGAGGACGACCAGCCACACUGGGACUGAGACACGGCCCAGACUCCUACGGGAGGCAGCAGUGGGGAAUUUUGGACAAUGGGCGCAAGCCUGAUCCAGCCAUGCCGCGUGCAGGAUGAAGGCCUUCGGGUUGUAAACUGCUUUUGUACGGAACGAGAGGGUUUGACUUAAUACGUUGGACUCAUGACGGUACCGUAAGAAUAAGCACCGGCUAACUACGUGCCAGCAGCCGCCGUAA
rnacentral:rRNA from 1 species